rnacentral:rRNA from 1 species
CGGUAAUUCCAGCUCCAAUAGCGUAUAUUAAAGUUGUUGCCGUUAAAAAGCUCGUAGUCGAACUUCGGCCUUUGCCGCCCGGUCCGCCCUAUGGGUGUGUACUGGAGCGGUGGAGGCUUACCUCGUGGUGAACGGCCAUGCUCUUUACUGGGUGUGGUCGGGAACCAUGAUUUUUACUUUGAAAAAAUUAGAGUGUUCAAAGCAGGCUUACGCCCGAAUACAUUAGCAUGGAAUAAUAAAAUAGGACAUGCGGUUCUAUUUUGUUGGUUUCUAGAAUCGCCGUAAUGAUUAAUAGGGAUAGUUGGGGGCAUUCGUAUUCAAUUGCUAGAGGUGAAAUUCUUGGAUUUAUUGAAGACGAACUACUGCGAAAGCAUUUGCCAAGGAUGUUUUCAUUGAUCAAGAACGAAGGUUAGGGGAUCGAAAACGAUCAGAUACCGUUGUAGUCUUAACAGUAAACGACGCCGACUAGGGAUCGGACGAGGAUUUUUAAUGACUCGUUCGGCACCUGAAGAGAAAUCUUUAAGUCUAGGUUCGGGGGGGAGUAUGGUCGCAAGGCUGAAACUUAAAGGAAUUGACGGAAGGGCACCACCAGGUGUGGAGCCUGCGGCUUAAUUUGACUCAACGCGGGGAAACUCACCAGGUCCAGACACGACAAGGAUUGACAGAUUGAUAGCUCUUUCUUGAUUUCGUGGUUGGUGGUGCAUGGCCGUUCUUAGUUGAUGGAGUGAUUUGUCUGGUUAAUUCCGAUAACGAACGAGACCUUAACCUGCUAAAUAGCCCGGCCGACUUUGGUUGGUCGCUGGCUUCUUAGAGGGACUAUCAGCGUUUAGCUGAUGGAAGUUUGAGGCAAUAACAGGUCUGUGAUGCCCUUAGAUGUUCUGGGCCGCACGCGCGCUACACUGACCGAACCAGCGAGUUUAUCACCUUGGCCGGAAGGCCUGGGUAAUCUUGUGAAACUCGGUCGUGAUGGGGAUAGAGCAUUGCAAUUAUUGCUCUUCAACGAGGAAUACCUAGUAAGCGUGAGUCAUCAGCUCGCGUUGAAUUCGUCCCUGCCCUUUGUACACACCGCCCGUCGCUACUACCGAUUGAAUGGCUUAGUGAGGUCUCCGGAUUGGCUUCUGGGAGCCGGCAACGGCACCUAGUCGCUGAGAAGUUGAACGAACUUGGUCAUUUAGAGGAAGUAAAAGUCGUAACAAGGUAGCCG